AAUCAACGCUGGCGGCGUGCCUCAGACAUGCAAGUCGAACGAUUAAAGCUCUCUUCGGAGAGUGUAUAGAGUGGCGCACGGGUGAGUAACACGUAAGUAAUCUACCCUCGAGUGGGGAAUAACAACCGGAAACGGUUGCUAAUACCGCAUAAUGCAGCGGCACCGCAAGGUGACAGUUGUUAAAGAUUUAUCGCUUGAGGAGGAGCUUGCGGCAGAUUAGCUAGUUGGUAGGGUAACGGCUUACCAAGGCUACGAUCUGUAACCGGUCUAAGAGGACGGUCGGUCACACUGACACUGAAUAACGGGUCAGACUCCUACGGGAGGCAGCAGUCGGGAAUUUUGGGCAAUGGGCGAAAGCCUGACCCAGCAACGCCGCGUGAAGGAUGAAGUAUUUUCGGUAUGUAAACUUCGAAAGAAUAGGAAGAAUUAAUGACGGUACUAUUUAUAAGGUCCGGCUAACUACGUG
rnacentral:rRNA from 1 species